AGAGUUUGAUCAUGGCUCAGAACGUACGCUGGCGGCACGCCUAACACAUGCAAGUCGAACGAAGUAGCAAUACUUAGUGGCAGACGGGUGAGUAACAUGUAGGUAUCUGCCCUUUGGCCUGGAAUAACACGAGGAAACUUGUGCUAAUACCGGAUAAGUCUUUACGGAGAAAGCUUUAUGCACCAUUGGAUGAGCCUGCACUUGAUUAGUUUGUUGGUGGGGUAAUGGCCUACCAAGACUGUGAUCAAUAGCUGAUUUGAGAGGAUGAUCAGCCACAUUGGGACUGAGACACGGCCCAAACUCCUACGGGAGGCAGCAGUGGGGAAUCUUGCACAAUGGAGGAAACUCUGAUGCAGCGAUGCCGCGUGAGUGAAGAAGGCCCUUGGGUUGUAAAGCUCUUUCGUCGGGGAAGAAAAUGACUGUACCCGAAUAAGAAGGUCCGGCUAACUUCGUGCCAGCAGCCGCGGUAAUACGAAGGGACCUAGCGUAGUUCGGAAUUACUGGGCUUAAAGAGUUCGUAGGUGGUUGAAAAAGUUAGUGGUGAAAUCCCAGAGCUUAACUCUGGAACUGCCAUUAAAACUUUUCAGCUAGAGUAUGAUAGAGGAAAGCAGAAUUUCUAGUGUAGAGGUGAAAUUCGUAGAUAUUAGAAAGAAUACCAAUUGCGAAGGCAGCUUUCUGGAUCAUUACUGACACUGAGGAACGAAAGCAUGGGUAGCGAAGAGGAUUAGAUACCCUCGUAGUCCAUGCCGUAAACGAUGUGUGUUAGACGUUGGAAAUUUAUUUUCAGUGUCGCAGGGAAACCGAUAAACACACCGCCUGGGGAGUACGACCGCAAGGUUAAAACUCAAAUGAAUUGACGGGGACCCGCACAAGUAGUGGAGCAUGUGGUUUAAUUCGAAGAUACGCGCAGAACCUUACCAACACUUGACAUGUUCGUCGCGACUCUAAGAGAUUAGAGUUUUCGGUUCGGCCGGACGAAACACAGGUGCUGCAUGGCUGUCGUCAGCUCGUGUCGUGAGAUGUUGGGUUAAGUCCCGCAACGAGCGCAACCCUCACUUUUAGUUGCCAUCAUUAAGUUGGGCACUCUGAAAGAACUGCCAGUGAUAAGCUGGAGGAAGGUGGGGAUGACGUCAAGUCCUCAUGGCCCUUACGUGUUGGGCUACACACGUGCUACAAUGGUAUCUACAACAGGAAGCAAGACUGCGAAGUUAAGCAAAUCCUUAAAAGAUACCUCAGUUCGGAUUGCACUCUGCAACUCGAGUGCAUGAAGCUGGAAUUACUAGUAAUCGUGGAUCAGCGUGCCACGGUGAAUGCGUUCCCGGGUCUUGUACACACCGCCCGUCACACCAUGGGAGUUGGUUCUACCUUAAGGCAAGGUUUUAAACCCUUGACCACGGUAUAGUCAGCGACUGGGGUGAAGUCGUAACAAGGUA
rnacentral:rRNA from 1 species